rnacentral:rRNA from 9 species
CGCACAAGCGGCGGAGCAUGUGGAUUAAUUCGAUGCAACGCGAAGAACCUUACCUGGGCUUGACAUGUAUGGAUUAGCUCUUGGAAACAUGAGUGACGCCCUUUGGGUGGAACAUACACAGGUGCUGCAUGGCUGUCGUCAGCUCGUGCUGUGAAGUGUCGGGUUAAGUCCCUUAACGAGCGCAACCCUUAUCGCUAGUUGCCAGCGCGUCAUGGCGGGGACUCUAGCGAGACUGCCGGUGUCAAACCGGAGGAAGGUGGGGAUGACGUCAAGUCCUCAUGGCCCUUACGGGCUGGGCUACACACGUGCUACAAUGGCGCAUACAGAGGGUCGCUACCUGGCAACAGGAUGCCAAUCUCAAAAAGUGCGUCUCAGUUCGGAUUGGAGUCUGCAACUCGACUCCAUGAAGCCGGAAUCGCUAGUAAUCGGAGAUCAGCCACGCUCCGGUGAAUACGUUCCUGAGCCUUGUACACACCGCCCGUCAAGUCAUGGAAGCCGGGAGUGCCCGAAGUCGCUCUGAUUCAGGAGUGCCCACGGCAAGUUCGGUAACUGGGACUAAGUCGUAACAAGGUAGCCGUAGG